AGAAGAGGACAGUGGAACUCCCAUGUGUAGCGGUGGAAUGCGUAGAUAUAUGGAAGAACACCAGUGGCGAAGGCGGCUGUCUAGUCUGUAACUGACGCUGAGGCUCGAAAGCAUGGGUAGCGAACAGGAUUAGAUACCCUGGUAGUCCAUGCCGUAAACGAUGAGUGCUAAGUGUUGGAGGGUUUCCGCCCUUCAGUGCUGCAGCUAACGCAUUAAGCACUCCGCCUGGGGAGUACGACCGCAAGGCUGAAACUCAAAGGAAUUGACGGGGGCCCGCACAAGCGGUGGAGCAUGUGGUUUAAUUCGAAGCUACGCGAAGAACCUUACCAGGUCUUGACAUACUAUGCAAAUCUAAGAGAUUAGACGUUCCCUUCGGGGACAUGGAUACAGGUGGUGCAUGGUUGUCGUCAGCUCGUGUCGUGAGAUGUUGGGUUAAGUCCCGCAACGAGCGCAACCCUUAUUAUCAGUUGCCAGCAUUAAGUUGGGCACUCUGGUGAGACUGCCGGUGACAAACCGGAGGAAGGUGGGGAUGACGUCAAAUCAUCAUGCCCCUUAUGACCUGGGCUACACACGUGCUACAAUGGAUGGUACAACGAGUUGCGAACUCGCGAGAGUAAGCUAAUCUCUUAAAGCCAUUCUCAGUUCGGAUUGUAGGCUGCAACUCGCCUACAUGAAGUCGGAAUCGCUAGUAAUCGCGGAUCAGCACGCCGCGGUGAAUACGUUCCCGGGUCUUGUACACACCGCCCGUCACACCAUGAGAGUUUGUAACACCCAAAGCCGGUGGGGUAACCUUCGGGAGCCAGCCGUCUAAGGUGGGACAGAUGAUUAGGGUGAAGUCGUAANCAAGGUAGCCGUA
rnacentral:rRNA from 1 species